AGAAAAGUAAGCUAAGUAAAGCUAAUGGUUCAUACCCCAUUAAUAGAGAUAAAGAUCUCUUUUCUA
rnacentral:tRNA from 1 species